rnacentral:lncRNA from 1 species
CCAGGAAGAAGGCGGGGGCUGCCGUCUGUCAGAAGCCUCCCUAGGGCAACGGCUCUGCCUUGCUGGGCCCAGGAAAUGAAGCAGGCACUUCCAGCAAGAGGCACACGCGGCGGAAGCACUGCAACAGCAGCAGCGGCAAGGACAGCAGCAACGACCUUGAGGACGGUCUGGAGCUCCACUGGGCCCCCAGUGGAGACGGGAUCAGGCAUGCAGCAGCAGGCAAGGGCGGGCAGCGUGGCUGUGGUCAUCACUCAGCCUAAGUACACCAAGGAACACAUCAAACUUGAAGGGUCGAAGUACAAUGGGCAACUUUUGAUUUGAAGGGCAGUCAACUGGGACUUGACUGGUUGAAAGGAAGUGCCUAAACAGCAAAAGCUGCUUACGGCAAUCUCAGUCAGAAUUUGUGAGGGGCCUCAGAUAUGUGGGUACCUGGUAGUGCCCAGGUGUGGGCAGUGGUUUCUGGUUAGUGUGCUGCUCACAGCCUCCUCAUCACCAUAGAAGGGAAGCUGUGGAGCUGCUGUGGACAAGAGAAGGGGCAUCUGGGACAUGACAACACCAAGAGAGAGGAAGCUCCCAGACUCAUCAAAGGUCUUAGCCAUGAAGUGAUCCUGCCGGCAGCAUGUGGGCAGAACCACACACUGACCUUGACAGAAACCAGCUCCUUGUUCACAUUUGGGGAGAACAAGAUGGCAUAGCUGGGUCGUGGUAACCAGACAGAUGCUGUCCACAGCUUGGCACAGACAAGGUAUAAAGGCCAGCCCAUUACCAAAAUGACCUGUGGAGUUGAAUUCAGUGUGAUAAUGGACUGCAAAGGAAACCUCUUUUCCUUUGGGUGCCCUGAAUAUGGUCAGCUGGGAAACAAUUGGAUGGGAAGUUCAUCACCCCGAUGCAGCCAUUAGAAUAUUACUGAAAACUGGUGCCCCUGCGAUUGGCUGUCUUCAUCCAGAAAACAAAAGAUGGACAGAUUCUGCCUGUACCAAAUGGUUGAAUGAGACACAGCCUGUGGCACUAACUACACGCUGGUUUUGGACUCCCAGAAGCAAGUCUUCUCAGGGCUUCAUUGGCUAUGGCUGGCUGGGCCACGUGGAGCAGAAAGUUGAGACUGUUCCCCCUCGCCAGGUGAAGCUGUUUGACUUCCCUGGGCGUGGGGUGCCCCCAGAUCUAUGCUGGUUAUGAUGGUUACACGUGCUCUUUGCUGGCAGUGAAGUGGGUGGUCUGUUUAUCUGAGGGGCCACCAACACCUCCUGUGAGUCUACCAUGUACCCCAAAGCAGGGCAGAACCUCUGUGGCUGGAGAAUCUGGAGCCUGGCUUGUGAGAAGAGCAACAUCAUUGCAUAAGAGCAUCACCAGCUGGGGCCCCGUUGCCAACAUUCAGGCAACUGGCCUGCAGGGACCAGAAACCAAACUCUUUAUAGUUCCCUGUCCAGCCAGAGCCUUGUCACAGCAGUUGCCAGUUAGAGAUUUGCCAGCUGUCAAGUGCAUUCUCU